CCUACGGGUGGCAGCAGUGGGGAAUAUUGCACAAUGGGGGAAACCCUGAUGCAGCGACGCCACGUGAGUGAAGAAGUAUUUCGGUAUGUAAAGCUCUAUCAGCAGGGAAGAAAAAAGACGGUACCUGACUAAGAAGCCCCGGCUACCUACGUGCCAGCAGCCGCGGUAAUACGUAGGGGGCAAGCGUUAUCCGGAUUUACUGGGUGUAAAGGGAGCGUAGACGGCAGUGCAAGUCUGGAGUGAAAGGCGGGGGCUCAACCCCCGGACUGCUCUGGAAACUGUACGGCUGGAGGGCAGGAGAGGUAAGUGGAAUUCCUGGUGUAGGGGUGAAAUGUGUAGAUAUUAGGAGGAACACCAGUGGCGAAGGCGACUUACUGGACUGUAACUGACGUUGAGGCUCGAAAGCGUGGGGAGCAAACAGGAUUAGAUACCCGUGUAGUC
rnacentral:rRNA from 1 species